GGCACUAUGGCCGAGUGGUUAAGGCGAUUGACUAGAAUUAUCUCUAAAUCAAUUGGGCUCUGCCCGCACAGGUUCAAGUCCUGUUGGUGUCG